rnacentral:rRNA from 1 species
AUCCAGACUCCUACGGGAGGCAGCAGUGGGGAAUAUUGCACAAUGGGGGAAACCCUGAUGCAGCGACGCCGCGUGAGCGAUGAAGUAUUUCGGUAUGUAAAGCUCUAUCAGCAGGGAAGAAAAUGACGGUACCUGACUAAGAAGCCCCGGCUAACUACGUGCCGGCAGCCGCGGUAAUACGUAGGGGGCAAGCGUUAUCCGGAUUUACUGGGUGUAAAGGGAGCGUAGACGGCGAUGCAAGCCAGAUGUGAAAGCCCGGGGCCCAACCCCGGGACUGCUCUUGGAACUGCGCGGCUGGAGUGCAGGAGGGGCAGGCGGAAUUCCUGGUGUAGCGGUGAAAUGCGUAGAUAUCAGGAGGAACACCGGUGGCGAAGGCGGCCUGCUGGACUGCGACUGACGUUGAGGCCCGAAAGCGUGGGGAGCAAACAGGAUUAGAUACCCGUGUAAA